rnacentral:tRNA from 1 species
GGGCAGAUACCAGAGCGGUCAAAUGGGCCUGGCUGUAAACCAGGUGGCGUGAGCCUUCGGGAGUUCGAAUCUCUCUCUGCCCACCA